AUUGAACGCUGGCGGCAGGCCUAACACAUGCAAGUCGAGCGAGUGGCGGACGGGUGAGUAAUGUCUGGGGAUCUGCCCGAUGGAGGGGGAUAACUACUGGAAACGGUAGCUAAUACCGCAUACCAUCGGAUGUGCCCAUAUGGGAUUAGCUUGUAGGUGGGGUAACGGCUCACCUAGGCGACGAUCCCUAGCUGGUCUGAGAGGAUGACCAGCCACACUGGGACUGAGACACGGUCCAGACUCCUACGGGAGGCAGCAGUGGGGAAUAUUGCACAAUGGGCGCAAGCCUGAUGCAGCCAUGCCGCGUGUAUGAAGAAGGCCUUAGGGUUGUAAAGUACUUUCAGCGGGGAGGCGUUACCCGCAGAAGAAGCACCGGCUAACUCCGUGCCAGCAGCCGCGGUAAUAC
rnacentral:rRNA from 1 species